rnacentral:rRNA from 1 species
UACGAAGGGGGCUAGCGUUGCUCGGAAUCACUGGGCGUAAAGGGUGCGUAGGCGGGUCUUUAAGUCAGGGGUGAAAUCCUGGAGCUCAACUCCAGGACUGCCUUUGAUACUGAGGAUCUUGAGUACGGGAGAGGUGAGUGGAACUGCGAGUGUAGAGGUGAAAUUCGUAGAUAUUCGCAAGAACACCAGUGGCGAAGGCGGCUCACUGGCCCGUAACUGACGCUGAGGCACGAAAGCGUGGGGAGCAAACAGG